rnacentral:rRNA from 1 species
GAUGAACGCUGGCGGCGUGCCUAACACAUGCAAGUCGAACGGAGUCCAGCCUUUAAGACCUUCGGGUCAAAGAGGGGAAGACUGAGUGGCGGACGGGUGAGUAACACGUGGGCAACCUGGCUCAUAGAGGGGGAUAACAGAGAGAAAUUUCUGCUAAUACCGCAUAAGCACACACUGCCGCAUGGCAGAGGGUGAAAAGAGAAUCGCUAUGAGAUGGACCCGCGUCUGAUUAGCCAGUUGGCAGGGUAAGAGCCUACCAAAGCGACGAUCAGUAGCCGAUCUGAGAGGAUGAACGGCCACAUUGGGACUGAGACACGGCCCAAACUCCUACGCGAGGCAGCAGUGGGGGAUAUUGCACAAUGGGGGGAACCCUGAUGCAGCGACGCCGCGUGAGUGAAGAAGUAUUUCGGUAUGUAAAGCUCUAUCAGCAGGGAAGAUAAUGACAGUACCUGAAUAAGAAGCCCCGGCUAACUACGUG